rnacentral:rRNA from 1 species
GAUUGUGACUGAGCGGCGGACGGGUGAGUAACGCGUGGGUAACCUGCCUCAUACAGGGGGAUAACAGUUAGAAAUGACUGCUAAUACCGCAUAAGACCACAGCACCGCAUGGUGCGGGGGUAAAAACUCCGGUGGUAUGAGAUGGACCCGCGUCCGAUUAGCUAGUUGGUAAGGUAACGGCUUACCAAGGCGACGAUCAGUAGCCGACCUGAGAGGGUGACCGGCCACAUUGGGACUGAGACACGGCCCAAACUCCUACGGGAGGCAGCAGUGGGGAAUAUUGCACAAUGGGGGAAACCCUGAUGCAGCGACGCCGCGUGAGCGAAGAAGUAUUUCGGUAUGUAAAGCUCUAUCAGCAGGGAAGAAAAUGACGGUACCUGACUAAGAAGCACCGGCUAAAUACGUGCCAGCAGCCGCGGUAAUACGUAUGGUGCAAGCGUUAUCCGGAUUUACUGGGUGUAAAGGGAGCGUAGACGGAUGGGCAAGUCUGAUGUGAAAACCCGGGGCUCAACCCCGGGACUGCAUUGGAAACUGUUCAUCUAGAGUGCUGGAGAGGUAAGUGGAAUUCCUAGUGUAGCGGUGAAAUGCGUAGAUAUUAGGAGGAACACCAGUGGCGAAGGCGGCUUACUGGACAGUAACUGACGUUGAGGCUCCAAAGCGUGGGGAGCAAACAGG